rnacentral:rRNA from 1 species
UAGGGAAUAUUGCAUAAUGGGCGAAAGCCCGAUGCAGCAACGCCGCGUGGGCGAUGAAGGCCUUCGGGUCGUAAAGCCCUUUUUGAGGGGACGAGGAAGGACAGUACCCUCAGAAUAAGCCUCGGCUAACUACGUGCCAGCAGCCGCGGUAAAACGUAGGAGGCGAGCGUUAUCCGGAUUUACUGGGCGUAAAGCGCGUGCAGGCGGAUUGGGGAGUUGGAUGUGAAAGCUCCCGGCUGAACUGGGAGAGGUCGUUCAAUACUUCCAGUCUUGAGUGCAGUAGAGGGAAGUGGAAUUCCGGGUGUAGUGGUGAAAUGCGUAGAUAUCCGGAGGAACACCAGUGGCGAAAGCGGCUUCCUGGACUGUAACUGACGCUCAGACGCGAAAGCUAGGGUAGCAAACG